UGGGCCGUAAAGGCUUAAACUUCAAAUUAAUUAACGGGGGACCCCCCCCAAGCGGUGGAGCAUGUGGUUUAAUUCGAUGCAACGCCGAAAAACCCUUACCUUACCAAUUGACAUACUGCGGAAUUUUCUAGAGGAUAGAAUUAGUGCCUUCGGAACGCAGAUACAGGUGCUGCAUGGCUGUCGUCAGCUCGUGUCGUGAGAUGUGGGUAAGUCCUAUAACGAGCGCAACCCCUUACCCUUAUUUGCCAGCGGUUCGGCCCGGGAACUAUAAGGGAACUGCCGGUAAUAAGCCGGAGGAAGGUGGGGACGACGUCAAGUCAUCAUGGCCCUUACAUGUAGGGCUACACACGUGCUACAAUGGGAGAUACAAACGGUUGCCAAAGCGCGAGCUGGAGCUAAUCCGAGAAAGUCUCUCGUAGUCCGAAUUGCAGUCUGGAACUCGACUGCAUGAAGCCGGAAUCGCUAGUAAUCGCGGAUCAGCAUGCCGCGGUGAAUACGUUCUCGGGUCUUGUACACACCGCCCGUCACACCAUGGGAGUGCAUUGCACCAGAAGUAGAUAGCUUAACCUUCGGGAUGGCGUUUACCACGGUGUAGUCCAUGACUGGGGUGAAGUCGUAACAAGGUAA
rnacentral:rRNA from 1 species